UACGGAAGAUGCGAGCGUUAUCCGGAUUUAUUGGGUUUAAAGGGAGCGUAGGCGGGCUUUUAAGCCAGCGGUCAAAUGUCAGGGCCCAACCUUGGCAUGCCGUUGGAACUGGGAGUCUUGAAUACACACAAGGAUGGUGGAAUUCGUCGUGUAGCGGUGAAAUGCUUAGAUAUGACGAAGAACUCCGAUUGCGAAGGCAGCCGUCUGGGGUGCGAUUGACGCUGAGGCUCGAAAGUGCGGGUAUCAACCA
rnacentral:rRNA from 1 species